GGGGAUUUAGCUCAGCGGCAUAAGCGCCUGCCUUGCAAGCAGGCAGUCGUGAAGUUCAAUCCCUG
rfam:Cavia porcellus supercont2_20 genomic scaffold, whole genome shotgun sequence.